rnacentral:lncRNA from 1 species
GAUUGUGAGGUCUCUCCAGCCACAUGUAACUGAAGGAGUAGCCACUAUUCAUGCCAUUGUCAAAACCUCAUGGCAACAAAACUUCCAGGGCUGGAAUUGCAAAGAUGAUUACAAAGGGGAGCUCCACAAUCAGCUAGAGUCAGAUGAUUAUAAGUCCCUGGAAUGAUGAUGCCACAAGAUGGAAGGAGUCUAGCUACAUGAUUCAUUGCAUGGGUGUUCCAAGAUAAUGAAUACUUCCAUAGCAACAAAAGUCUGACAAUAAACGGUUACCUUGAUUUUCACAUUUUCAAAGAAAAAUCCCUCAAUGGCAACUAGACCAGAAGUCUCAACACUGAAUAUGCAAUAAUGGCUACAAGUUACAGGAUAUCAAAGUGGAGUGUGAACCAGCCAGGAGGAGAACGAAUAACACCCAAAGACAAAAAAGGACUUGUUGUCUUUUCUGGGGAAAGGUGAAGAAAGGAACAAGGUGUUCAGCUAAUAACGUGGUUUGGGAAGGGAGUUUGAAAAGAGAAGAUAAAGAAAUACUCAUCUAGGAGAGUAGGAGUGUGGAUGGACUAGAAAAAAGAAAAAGAAAUUCUUGGUCCCCAACAUGGAAAUCCAAGAUGCAAGGAAAUCAUAGGCUCUGAAUCACCUGGGGAAGAAACCGCUGCAGACCAAAUUGCAUCUUAGAUCCAUUAAAUCAGAAACUUGGAUUGCUGGAUUCAGGUACAAGUAUUUUUAAAGCUCCCUAAGUGAUUAUAAUGUAUAGCCAAAGUUGAGAACUACUGCUUUGGAGCCACUGGUCUAAUGGAACAAAUUGCAUUGAUUUACUUCCCUUAAUAUUACUAUGUAUAACUAACUAAAUAAGAUGUAUUAUUUUAUGUUUCUUCUUAAUAUUGGCAUAAACCAAUAAAUUAGUGUAUGUAUGUUUCAUUGUUAGAAGAAUAUAUGAAUAUUAUUUUUGUACCAGAUAUUCCAUCAGGAGCAGAAACGUUCACAGAAAAGGGGCACAAAUUUUAGGGGCAGAGUAAGAUGUGAACCAUACAAUCAGCUCUGAGCAUCCUCCUCUGCCCAUUUGCCUCAUAUGGUUUUAAGGAUGGUAAGUGCAGAUAAAGCUGUGAAUGAGAAGAGGAACAGAGCAGUCAUCAUGGAACAUGAGAGAGAAGCUAUGUAUUCAAGGCCCCAGAACCACAAGUAGAAGGAGCCUGGAUCCCAGAUAAUUUUGUGGGUCCCAUAGUCCUGAAUUGCCUGCCCAGGCUUUAACAUGAAAGAGAACAAUUUCUCUAUUUCAUUUAAACCACAGUUAUUACAGGGUCUCUUUCAACAGCCAAACCUAUUACCUAACUAACACAAGUCAUGACCAGGUAGUCUUGCUAACAGAAUAUCUCAUAUUCAAUUAAGUGUUUUAAAUAUAUACCAUUGUUACUGCACCUGAACAACCGAAAACUUCUGUGAGAAGACCAAAAAUCUAUACUUAGUAGAAAUUUUCCUUCUUAAUUUUAGCAUCUACAGAAAUGUGCCCCAUAUUUUGUCCUGUGAAUGACUUUCAAAAGUUCAGACUUGUGUAAUGCCCUAUAAGUUGAACCAAAUAUUAAUUUCUUUGCAAUAUAUAAAGAUUUUAUUUAACAUAGUGUAAUAUAAAGAUAAUAUAUGUCUAAUGUAGUAGAUGUCAAGUACAGUAUGUGUUUGGUAUUUAGACCUUAUAAAAAAAAUUUUUCUAGCUCUUGUCUACCAUGUAGGUAACAUAUUCCCAUUUUAUAAAUAAAGCAA